GACGAAGGGGCUAGCGUUGUUCGGAAUUACUGGGCGUAAAGGGCGCGUAGGCGGUCCAUUAAGUCAGGCGUGAAAGCCCUGGGCUCAACCUGGGAGUGGCGCUUGAUACUGGCGGACUAGAGAGUGGGAGAGGUUGGUGGAAUUCCCAGUGUAGAAGGUGAAUUCGUAGAUAUUGGGAAGAACACCGGUGGCGAAGGCGGCCAAACUGGACCAUUUCUGGACGCUGAGGCGCGAAAGCGUGGGGAGCAAACAGG
rnacentral:rRNA from 1 species